CCAGCGUUGCGCGUCCUCUACCUAGUCAGGAAGAAGUGGGUGCUGAAGGUGGCGGAUCCGCAGAACAUACUGUGAGGGAUGGCCGACCUCCACGCCACCAAUGGCGCCACUCGGGGAUCUCCUUAAGGAGAAGUCCCUCGUCACCGUCGGUGCGUCGUUCGGCGCCGCUGCCAUGCAGUUCGCUCACUUUGGCAAGUGAGGAGCGCGUCCCGACGUGUCCGGGGGCGUUGCGAAAGGAGGAGAGCUCCGCUGGCGUCAGCGAAGAGAUUGCUGCAGCCGAGAAGGGCGAAGCUGCUCUUGUGGGUUCCAGGGCUCCACUUUGCGCCGUCUACCCUCGGCGUCCCGGGGUGCCAUCAAGCGUCUAACACUAUCAAGACCUCCCUCUCCGGUACGCCAGCGAAUGAGCAAAGGGCCGUCGUUUUCUGCGCCGCGCACUUGCACCGGAAGUUUGUCUCUCCCGCGCCGCAUUCCUCUUCGUAUCAGCACUGUGAACACACUUCCCAG
rnacentral:misc_RNA from 1 species